GACGAACGCUGGCGGCGUGCCUAAUACAUGCAAGUUGAGCGAUGAAGCUUGGUGCUUGCACCAAUUUGAAGAGCAGCGAACGGGUGAGUAACGCGUGGGGAAUCUGCCUUUGAGCGGGGGACAACAUUUGGAAACGAAUGCUAAUACCGCAUAACAACUUUAAACAUAAGUUUUAAGUUUGAAAGAUGCAAUUGCAUCACUCAAAGAUGAUCCCGCGUUGUAUUAGCUAGUUGGUGAGGUAAAGGCUCACCAAGGCGAUGAUACAUAGCCGACCUGAGAGGGGGAUCGGCCACAUUGGGACUGAGACACGGCCCAAACUCCUACGGGAGGCAGCAGUAGGGAAUCUUCGGCAAUGGACGAAAGUCUGACCGAGCAACGCCGCGUGAGUGAAGGAGGUUUUCGGAUCGUAAAACUCUGUUGGUAGAGAAGAACGUUGGUGAGAGUGGAAAGCUCAUCAAGUGACGGUAACUACCCAGAAAGGGACGGCUAACUACGUG
rnacentral:rRNA from 1 species